GGGGGGGGGGGAGACAAAGACAGGAACUUGAACCUGUUGCAGUGCCCUAAUGGAGGUAGCAGGCAGGCUGAGCAGGGGAGCUAAAGCUACUGAGGCCUGCUUUGCAGAGGGGGCCCGCUCCAAGCAGCCCAGGCAAGGUGUCCUCUGACCAAGGGGACGCUGGACCGGGCUGGUAUCUGGGGUCCUCAAGGGGCCCCUGGGCCAGUGGCCAGGAGAGCAGCGGUGCUGAGUCAUGCUGAACUCAGCGGUAAGGGUCUCAGGCACAGAGGCGGGGUGGGGCCACCGACUGACCUCAUGUCCUGCCAGGCUGCUGACUGGCGGGGACCCUGGGAACUAGGCCUGGCUGGGAUCCAAGUCUGGCCCCCUCCCCCAGGGUGCCACCUCGAGUGUGCUUUGUCUCUGCAUCUUACGGUCUUUUCGAGUUCCUCGGGCCUGUGGCCAUAUUGUCUCCUCUCUGGGCGGUGACUCAGUCUCCCUUCGCUAUCUUGUCUGACAGCUCUCCCCUGACUUGGUGUCUCUGGGGAGAGUCUAUGGGGGAGGGGCAGGUGCUCCAGGCACACAGUCACAAUGGGGCCUGAGUUACUCAUUCACCAAAUUUCAAACCUCAGCCUAAAGACCUUUAGCCUCCACCAGGCCCCACCUGCAGAGAGGGGUGACUUUGGAAAUGCUCACAGAUUUGCCGGCACGUGAAGUCUGGUCUCCUGUGACAGCCAGGGAGAGGGCUCAGUGACUCAGACUCCGAAGUGUGGCCUGAAAGAGAUGGUGAGUGACGCAGUCAGCACUCCGGCCACAAAGAUGGUCACUGUCUGCCACGUGGGUGUCCCAAAGUAGGAGAGGAGGCCGUCCUGCAGACAGAUCGCUGCGACUUUGGCUUUGAGGUCAUCCCCUCUCAGAAGUCUUUCCCGACCACUUUGCACAAUUACAUCACCACGCUCAUCAGACAUCGUGGGCUCCACGAGAGCAGGGACCUAGCCUGCUUUGUUGGGUGCCGCUUCUUGGGUCGGGCACAUAGUAGGCCCAAUAAAUGUCUGCUGCACGAGUAACUGAAGGAGCCAACAAACCAGCCCGUAGCCCUCUCCAUUCCCUUUGCGCUUAGUGGGCUGCCACAGGGGUUGGCCUCACGACUCCCAGGUCCUCCCGGGUCUGAGCGGAGCAUCCCUGGGGGCUCACUGCCCGGCAGCCGCCCACCUUGAGCACCAGUUUGCUGGCAAAGUAGAAGAGGGCAACGACCCGGCCCCAGUUGAAGUUGCCAUCAGAAAACAUCUCCGCUGCCACUCGGAAAAAGACCUCGCGGGGGGAGUCUGUGUCCACAGCUGCGAUCAUCCUGCAGGAAAGAGGAAAGCCGGUGCUGCCGAGGGACGACCAGGCAGGGCGUGGGGGAGACUCUGGGAUUCCCCUCACACCAAAGACAAGGAUGCCGAGGCCCAGGUUAGGCUGUCGUGAAACAGAACGGGCCAACACGGGGGAAAGGGACGAGAUGGACAUUCAGGAAAGUGGGGAAAAGGACUCCCUGAGGGAGGGUGUCCGUAUCCUAGAGGAAGGGCGGGCUUCUCAGCCAGGGAGCCGGGUAGAGUGGUGGGGCCCGGGACGCCGGGGUCUGAGGGAGUAGCAGACUGUGGAUCUGAACUCCAGGCCCAGCGGAGGAGGGGCCUGAGAGCCAGGGCUCUGGGGAUGUGAGGGAGAAGGGGACCAGUGGCUGGAUUCCUGGGGCCCAGGGGCCACACCUCUGCAAUUCCACGUUACUGUCCAGUUCAUCUCCGAUGCGCUUGAGACACUCGCUCAGCUUCUUGGUGGACGCAUCCUGGGGCACCUGCUCCAGGGCCAGCUCGGGUGUCUCUCCCCCCAUUCGCCCUGCCCGAUCUUGGAUGAAACUAGAGUGGGAAUGGAGUGUGGAGGGUGCAGAAUCAGAAUGGGGCAUCACUCCUGCAAUCCGCUCGGCAAUAAUCACACCCCAGACUCACCCCUGAAGCAAAAGGGCCCCUGUCUUCAUGAUCUGCUCAGAGCUGGUGGGCCCUAGAGGAGAAAGGAGGGAAGACGUGCCUGGACUCUUGGGUCCUAGGGGAUCCAGGGAACUAGGGUGGCUCAUGAUCUCUGAGGGAGGACAACACUAGGGGGUCCUGCAUUUCUGGGUCCCUGGUAGGUACAGUGCCUAGGGGCCCGGGCAGCCGAGUCCCUGGUGGAGAUAAAGGCAGGGAGCCUCGGCCAGAAUCCUGCGUUCUUCCGGCGGAGGAGGUUGAGGGAACGCUUCAUGCAUCCAGACCCCUGGCCUGAGGGGGCAGAGGAGAGACCCGCCCCUCCCACCAGGAAGUGGUGCCGGCGACAAGCCCGGGCCUGCCCCGGGGCUUGGGAUUCUGGGGUCUCCAGCUUCUCGGGGGUCCGAGAGCGCCAGGCAGAAAGGCAUCGGGACGCGGAGGCCAGAGAGCCGGGAACCCCCGGGGAGGGAGGGGGCUGGAAGCUGGCAGCGCCCGAUCCGGGAGUUUCUGCCCCGGAGUGCUUGGAGAUCGCACGGCCCCAAGACCGGCAGGAGGGAUCGUGGGGCCGGCCGGCGAGGGGGCUCGCCCUCCUCCCGCCCGUCUGCCUCCCGCCUCACCCCCGCCUCUGGGCUGCUCCCCGGACCCGUCCAUCACCGCCGCUCCCGCCGCCGCCUCUCGCCGGGUCCGCCCGGGCGGCCGCAGCACGCCCCUGGUCACGUGAGCGCCCCGCUGAGCGUGCGUGCUCUCACGUGACCGCCCCGCAAAAUGGCGGCCCGCAGGCUGUCGCCCCGCAGGGCGGUUGGGUCACGUGACAGCACCUGCCUCACCUGCUUGGGGAGGCCGGGGCCCCUAUCACGUGACUGUCUAAUCUGCACCUACAGGUAAGACCCCGUCGUGGCGCCCUUCCACCCGCCACUCAUUCAAUGGCAGCUGUAACUUUCAUUCAUUCAUUCAUUCAUUCAUGCAUUCAUGCAGUAUUUUUGGAAGUUUCAGGUGACUUUAAGACCUUCCCAGGGCAGAAGCAACAUCGGAGGCCAAAAACCUCACUCAUUGAGGCAGGACGUUUUAGACGAUUAGAGUCUGUGAGCUGUUUUUGUGACGAGGAAUAUGAAGUUCAAAAAAUGGCAAAACUAACCUGUGGUAGCAGAUUGGCAGGGUAUGAGCAGGGAGGGGCCCCAAGACAGGCUCCCGGGGUGCCUGGAAGAUGCUGUAUCUUGAUCGAGAUGAUGAUUACUCGGGGAUACACAUGUUGAAAAAUUCAUGGAACUGUGCCUAUGCAGUGUGCACUUUGCUGCGUAGAAAUGAUAUUUCCUCUUAAAAGAAGAGGACAAGAGAAUUCGGAUUAGAAAAUAGGUCGGGGUCAGAUAAUGAAGUGGGGGGAGCAUACAAGAGAAGGGAUCUCUGUCCCAAGGGUGGCUGGGAGCCAUAGCAAUAGAAGAUUAUAGGAGUCCUAGUACAUCAGCCUAACACCACCAGGAACAUAAGUGUGACAAAGUCAAGUUUAUUGACCCAUUGCGAUGACGGAGACCACACAAGAGAGAAACCAUGGAGCAUUUUGACGAAGGAAAAGGUAGAGUUCUCACAGGAUCUGCAGGAAGGGUAGGGCAACACCAGGUGCAGACUGUGAAGAGGAACCGGGUGCUCGUGUCCUUGGAAACUACAAGGCGGAUCUGGAUAUGGAGUGGUCCCUAAACCCGUUAUGUGAGGCUCUGCACCGGGAUUGGAAAUUGAGGCUGCUACUCUGUUUCAAAUGCCUACAGGCAAGAGUGGGAUGUUUCAUUUUUACUGAGGGAACGAACAGAUUCUAGGGAACAAAGUUUCUCUGUAAGAAAGCAUGUCCUUGGGGGAAAGUGUUUCCUGUUAACUUUGAAGCUAGCUUUAUCUUUGCCUGUUAUUUCCGCCCAAUGAAUGAGCCCUCCCUUUGCCUUAAUUACAGAGAAAAGAAGAAAGGGCUUUUUUGAUGCCCACCUCUCAACAGUGCAGCCUUUGAGCAGGAGGGAGAAAACUUUUUAUUUUAUUUUUUUGAGAAGGGGAGAGCACGAGUGGGGGAGGGGCAGAGGGAGAGGGAGAGAAUCUCAAGCAGGCUCCAUGAAGGGCUUGAUCCCACAACUUGGCAAUGCUGACCGGAGGCAAAAUCAAGAGUUGGGAUGCUUAACUAACUGAGCCACCCAGGGGCCCGGAAAACUUUUUAGCUAGUUCUGAAGUCAAAACUGUUUAUAAUAACAAGGAUGCUACUUUGGAACUGUGAAACCCUCUUCCAAGAUGGUCCCCAAUGACUUUAGUCCCCAGGUAUAUGCAUGCCCCUGUGUAGGGCCCUCCCACACUGAAUAGGGCUAACCAGUGUGGCCAGUAGGGUAUUGUGGCAAUGACAGUGUGAUUUCCAAAGUUAACUCAGGAGUCACUGCAGCUUCAGGGUGCCUGGGUUAAGCGUCCGACUUCAUCUCAGGUCAUGAUCUCGUGGUUCAUGAGUUCGAGCCCCGUGUCGGGUUCUGUGCUGACAGCUCAGAGCCUGGAGCCUACUUCGGAUUCUGUGUCUCCCUCUCUGCCUGCCCCUCCCCCACCUCUGUCUUUGUCUCUCAAAAAUAAGUAAGCAUUAAAAAAAAAACUUUUAAAAAAGUGUUUCUGUGAACAAGGAAGAAAUUGCAGUGCCUUUCCCACCAGCCUCGCAAGUCAUGGAGCAUCCGUGUGGCAAGGGUUACGAGUGAGUCAUGAGAACCCUCCAUUUUCAGGGAAGAGGAACUAGACUCCAACUCUCUCUCUCUCUCUCUCUCUCUCUCUCUCUCUUUUUAAGUAGACUCCACGCCCAGCACAGAGCCCAAUGCAGGGCUUGACCCUGAGAUCGAGACCUAAGCUGAGAUCAAGCAGACUCCAACUCUUAACGGGGGAAGUAAGCAGGGACAGGACAUAUCUUUGGAAACUGGGAAGCGGCACAUCCAUUCAGCUGCUCUAGCAAUGGCUAGUGGAAGAGUGGCUUAAAUAACAGUGAAGUUGAUUGACCUCUUGUGUAACAGUCCGAGAGAGUAUGCAAUCCCCGGUGACAUUAACAGGGAGUGAAUUUCCGGUGUCAGGGACUGCCUGCUUAAUUUUCUUGGUCAACUUGACUGGGCCACAGGGCGCCCAGAUAUUCUGGUCGAACAUUCUCCGGGUGUUUCGGGUGCGAUUCACAUUUAAAUUGGUGACUUAGUAAAGCAGACUAGGCUCCCUGCUGUGGGCGAGCCCAUCCGGUGAGAUGAAAGGCCGAUCCUCCUCAGAGGGAGAAAGAAUUCUUUCUGCCUGAUUGACCUGGGACAUGGGCUUUUUUUCCUGCAUCCAGACUCACACGGAAACAUCAGCCCUUCCUGCAUUUCCAGCUGCCUGCCUUCUGAUGAGACCUACACCAUCAGCUGUCCUGGUACUCAGGCCUUUGGACUCGGACUGGAACUAAACAUUGGCCCUCCUGGCUCUCCAGUUCACCAACUUGCGGAUCUCAAGGCCUGCCUACCUCCAUAAUUGUGUUUUUCUUCUAGCCUUCUAGCUUGUGGGUCCACCGUCUGCAACACAUGGUUUCCAUCUCGCGGGGGAAGAGGACACGCCAGUGCCCGACACAGCUCUACUCCAGUCCCAAGAAGGGAGAGGCUGAAAGGGAGGCCAUCCUCUUUGCCUAAAAAAGGCCAUAACUCAGAAGCUGCACACAUCCCAUUGGCCAGAACCCAUUCACGUGUGAGAAUCAUUCGUGCAAACCCAACGUAUCCAUCUCAAUCUUCUAGAACCUGGCAGCACUGAACUUCCUGGACUCUCUGUGACUCACCAAGGUCAUGUGACUAGUUGUUGCCAGUGAAUUUCACGAGGUUCUGUAUGUUGUUUAUGUGUUAGGGCUUUUUUUUUUUUUUUUUUUUUUUUUUUUUACGUUUUUUCAUUAUUGAGAGAGAGAGACAAAGCAUGAGCAGGGGAGGGGCAGAGAAAGAGGGAGACACAGAAUCCGAAACAGGCUCCAGGCUCUGAGCUGUCAGCACAGGGCCCAACGUGGGGCUCGAACCCACCAGCUGUGAGAUCAUGACCUGAGCCGAAGUCAGACACUCAACUGCUUGAGCCACUCAGGCGCCCCCAUCAGUUAACAUUUUUUGAGAACCUACUGGAUGCUGGAGGCUGUUCAUAUACUAUCGCAUUUAUUCCUCCCCAGAGUGUGGUUGGUAGUAUGUCUCUUCUUCACCGAUGAGAAGACGGGGGCAGGGAGGAGCUGCGGCAGAGGGCAGUUGGGGACACCUCCUACCCACCCACUCUUCCUUGCCCAAGGUCACAGAGUCUAUGCUAGGCAAACCAAGGAUCUGCCCACAGGUGUCUGCUCCAAAAACUUGUGAGAAGUGUGGUCCUGACUCUUUCUUCCUCCCCUUC